UAAACCGUUUUUGUUUUUGCAUACUCAAAUGGCCUCUUUAGGAUGCAAGUUUAGGUAUUCGGACACGGCCCUUGUCUCUGACCGCCCUGUCUGUCCCUCUGUCCUCAGUUGUCGGUGAACAGCGAGCGGCGGCUGGCCCACCGGCAGGGACGGAGGGCAGUGAAGGCCAGUCUGACCCUGGGAGUCCUGCUGGGCCUCUUCUUCAGCGCCUGGCUGCCCUUCUUCAUCACCAACAUGGCCCAGGCUUUCAAUGAUCCAGUCAUUUCAUUUCCCAUCUGUGUCCCUCACUUCACUCCUCCAGAAUAUAGCAGACAGAGGGCUCAAGUGUCUGCCUUCCUUUCACAUGCAAUGUGGCGGUAUGUGAGUGUGUUCCCUCGGCGCUCUUUGACGCCAUCACCUGGCUGGGCUACUGUAACAGCACCAUGAACCCCAUCAUCUACCCGCUGUUCAUGCGUGACUUCAAACGGGCCCUGGGGAGGCUGCUGCCCUGCUGCUCCACCCACUCGCCCCACAGACCCUCACUGGCGCUCUCCCUCUCCCUCCGCAACUCCGGUGAGCCCAACCUGCCCACGGAGCCCCCCUCCCUGUCCUCCGACCCCCCACAGCCCCCCGCCACCGCCACAGACUCCGUCAACCUGUUUGACAACGACCACGCUGGGAUUGAGCUGCCCCUGCUGUUGCCCAAUCAGGUGGACACGCUGGACUGAAGGGGAGGAUGGAGAGUAGAGUGUGAAGAGAUGUUACAUACUGUAACUUAUUACCACCAAGGGGAAUUUGGCUGAGGGGAAAGGUUGGAGGAAGGUGUAAUGUUAAACUCAUCAAAGCAGCACUUGUGGGUGGUAGCAAGAUGGAAACAUAAUCUAGACUGUGCAAUUUAGUGAGCAUACAGGGCAGGAGUGGAUGAGAGAGAGCUAAGUGAAUCACUGGGUGACUGCAUUAGAUGACAUCACUGUGAUAACAAUUAUAAAAAAUGCCAGGGACUCAUUCAUGCUGCAUUGUCUUCAUAUCCACAAAAGUGGGAGGAUGGCUAUAAAUAGAAUUGUAAUUAAAUGUUUUUAAUUAACAUCCUGCCUACAUUAAAAGUACAUUACUUUAACACACUAUACAGUGCAUACAUUAUUCAUCACUUAUUAGUCAAAUACAUCUAAAAGCCCUAAGGGGUUCACAUGUUCAUGAUUAGUUCAAUUAUGUUUUUCACUGGAAGUUGCCAUUUGUGUCCACUAAUGUCUUCACUGAGUGUUCUGGCACCUGAGUGUGCUGAGAAGCUAAAGGAGGUCUGUCCACAGACAACUGUGAUGUUGUUGGUAAUUCAAGUUGAGAAGAGGCAGAAGAACUGCAGUUGGUCCUAUCGCCUCCUAUGUUCGCCUGUUUGGUCCCAUCUGUUGAUGCGUUCCCUCAAACUCGAGAUGGGAAGCUGCACCGUUGUCUUUAUGGGCGGCAUUCCCCUCAGGACUAUGUUGCAGGUUACCCUGAACACUAUAUUUUCGGAGGAGGAAAAGUGGGCUUUCUGGACAUAUUUUCAACCCUUCGUAGAUGGAAAUGAAAUAUGUAUAACUGGACAUUAUUUGACACUUUAUAGAUUUCACGUUGUGUAACUGAAGUUUUGUUGUGAAUAAAAACACCAUGUUGCUAAAUUCUGCUUUAUAUACAGCAGCCAUCGUUGACGGUGACGACAUCGUGAUGUGACAGGCAAUGGUUUAGUUUAUUUGAACUUGACUGGCACCGCGCACGAGAGUCGGGCACGAGUGACAUUCCGAGAUAUUUCCCUAUUCCUAUUUGCUAUAGCCUAUUUCAAUAAAUGUUAUAUACAGAACGCAAGAGAGAACGGUAGGCUAGACAGAGCGGAGACCUCCACCAAAGCAGUGCAAAAUGUCCAGUCAGAAAAUAUUAUUUCUCUCCGUCGAAUGAAUGGGACGUAUAGCCUAAACCUAUUCAUUUAAAAAAAAUAUAUACUCUAACAGUAGUUCCCAAACUUUUUAUAGUCCCAUACCCCUUCAAACAUUCAACCUCCAGCUGUGUACUCCCACUAGCACCGGGGUCAGCACACUCUCAAAUUAUGUUUUUUUGCCAUCAUUGUAAGCCUGCCACACACACACUAUACGAUACAUUUAUUAAACAUAAGAAUGCAUGUGAGUUGUCGUCACAACCGGGCUUGUGGGAAGUGACAAAGAGCUUUUAUAGGACCAGUGCACAAAUAAUAAUAAUCAAUAAUUUUGCACUUUAUUUAACCAUCUUACAUUUUUUUAAACGUAUUUGUUCAUCAAAGAAAAUUGAGUAAGAGUAAGUAUAUUAAUUAGUACAAAUUUGAGUAAGUAAGUACAUUAGAGUGUCUAGCUUGAGAAACAGACGC